rnacentral:lncRNA from 14 species
CCAGCACUAAUCUGUGAACACAAGGCCUCCCAAGCGCUACAGUUGCUGCCUCUCCCGUAUUAACAUGGGCCACAUCUGCAAGGCCUAGGGAACGGCUGGACUCAGAAGUCAUUUAAUCAUCCGAG